rnacentral:rRNA from 1 species
UGCGAGCGUGACGGCGCGAGCAGGUGCGAAAGCAGGUCAUAGUGAUCCGGUGGUUCUGAAUGGAAGGGCCAUCGCUCAACGGAUAAAAGGUACUCCGGGGAUAACAGGCUGAUACCGCCCAAGAGUUCAUAUCGACGGCGGUGUUUGGCACCUCGAUGUCGGCUCAUCACAUCCUGGGGCUGAAGUAGGUCCCAAGGGUAUGGCUGUUCGCCAUUUAAAGUGGUACGCGAGCUGGGUUUAGAACGUCGUGAGACAGUUCGGUCCCUAUCUGCCGUGGGCGCUGGAGAAUUGAGGGGGGCUGCUCCUAGUACGAGAGGACCGGAGUGGACGCAUCACUGGUGUUCGGGUUGUCAUGCCAAUGGCACUGCCCGGUAGCUAAAUGCGGAAGAGAUAAGUGCUGAAAGCAUCUAAGCACGAAACUUGCCCCGAGAUGAGUUCUCCCUGAGACUAUAAGUCUCCUGAAGGAACGUUGAAGACGACGACGUUGAUAGGCCGGGUGUGUAAGCGCAGCGAUGCGUUGAGCUAACCGGUACUAAUGAACCGUGAGGCUUAACCUUACAACGCCGAAGAUGUUUUG